rnacentral:sRNA from 1 species
CUUGAUCAGAGUUUCUGGACUUUCAGGUCAUCCACGGGAAGGCGCGCCCACUUUCACGCCCCCUCACCAAAGCU